ACAAUUUUGAGACGUGUCUAUGUUUAGGAAAAAUUGUUUAAAUAUGUAUUUCUAAGUUCUUCGUAAUCCCAAAAACAUCACCUCUUCAGAUCAGACACGCAAACCACUGGGCGCAGCCAUUUUGAAGCUUCCUCCACCUCCUUCCACUGAGGAGCAGUCCGUCUUUCAUAUUCUGGUGGAUUAAUAGGUGGAAUAUCAGAGGGAAUCGACAGGCUCCCCUCUUCUUGGAUCAGCAUAUCUCUUCAAGAUAUCUCUCCAACUCUGACUUAGCUGUUGGGUGCUGAUAUCCUGUCACUGGCUUUCACUCGUCUGACUUGACCGGCUUCAUAAGAAGAACUGAUCAAUGCAAAGCCCCUGCCACUUCUCCUCAAGCAUCUCUUUCUCCCUUGAUGAUUCUUGCCACCUUGCUACAGCCACAGUUACAAACCUGGAGUGCCACAUCUUGUCCCAGAGCUCUCACUGCAGAUUUUGAGCUGCACAAUGGGGUUGUCCAUUGUAAAGUAGCAUUAGUUCUCAUGUCCAUUUCCUUUCCUAAGUCAUUAACUGGGUUAUACAAGCUUGAGUAAUUUUCCACCCCCACUCUCGCUGAGUCUCUGGGUAUUUUUCUUUUUACUGUAUUAAAAGCCUCAAGUGGGUGUCUGCAGCAUCUUGUUCAAUCUGAAAACGCAGAGAUAUUGCUAACUAUCUCCUCCUGUCAGCUCUCUCUCCAAGAUGUCACAUGGUCUUUUCCUUGUCGCCAGCUGCCAUAUUCACAGCAGCCAUUGGAUUUAUUUAAGAGCUUCCUGAUUUUUAUUAUGUGAGAGUAGCUGUUAUUUACUUCAUGCCAAUAUUGGAAAAAUAACAAAUAAAAAGUUCUGGAGUUAAAGCCAAAAAUCUUGAAAUUAGCUUUCACAUUUAAACCCUUACAGAAUAUAUUAUCUGCUCCAACUAAUGAGCUGCAAGCUGUUUGGAAACAGGCUAAUGUAGUCCCCCCUCAUAAGCACUUGCAAACAAUUAUGUUCUCAGUUCUCCCACUAGUACUUGAGAUGUUUGAAACACAUAAGUAAUAAUUCAUUGUACCCUUUCUCAAUCUUGUUUUAGUUCCAGACACGGCCUCAGCAUUCUUCAAGGUCACUAAUCACAUUAUUUCAACACAUAUGUCUUUCCUGUCUGAUGAGGUUUAUUUAGAGGGCUAUAAAAGCACUGGGUCUGAUUAAACAUAAGCUACUUUUUAUUUACUUUAUACUGGGUGGAGACAGAGGCUCUUGCUUUGAAAAGUAUCCCAAAAAUAUUUGCAGGCAGU